rnacentral:sRNA from 1 species
GCUGGGCAUGGUGACGCAUGCCUGUGAUCCCAGCUACUGGGAGGCUGAGGUGAGAGGAUCCCUUGAGCCCAGGAGAUCAAGGCUGCAGUGAGCAGUGUUCAAGCCACUACACUCCAGCCUGAGGGACAAAGUGAUACCCUGUCUCAA